CGUGGAGAGGGCCAGGGAUAGACUGAUAGAGGAAGGUAAAGGGGUAGAGGCGUAGAAGGAGCGGAGGCAAGGGGCUACCGAGCGGACGAGCGCGUUUCGGAUCGGGCGGGGAGAGGCCGGUGGCGGAGGGAGGAGGGCGAGGCGCCCGAGAGGUGGUUCCAGCUCGAGUAGCUCUAGCUGGAGCGGCUCCUCCUGGGCAGCAGCCAGCUCCAGCACCCCUAGGCCGCGUACCUCCUCCGGUAGGUGCCGCACUACCACGCCGCCCGGUGCGGGCUCACCGAGGGGAAGCACGGCCCGCCCAGGAAGACCCACGGGGGCCACGCCGCGGGGGCGCCCCAGCGCCUCGAGCAGCCGGCCUAGCGCCGCAGGCCCCAGCCGCUCCACAGCAUGCUCCGCCUCGGGAUGCAGGGGUACUGCCUCCUCCUCCACGAGAGGGAGAGGUGCCGGGCCCCCACCGGCAGCCGCCGGAUGAAGCAGCUUCCACUCGCCCUGCUCACUUGGCUCUAGGCUAGAGCAACAAACGCACUUAGGCUCGCUACCGUUCCACGAGGUAGGUAAAGGUCUAAAGGAACACCUCAAUCAUACCCGACAGUCUAAAUACGAUGUAGACGGGUUGAGUGUAAGUCCGAUAUCGCAGCCACUUCGCGUGGCCUUUCGUUAACUCGUAGCACAUACUAACACCAACUUACACAAAUCAAAUACCACAGAUAUACAACACUGUACUAAUAAGUGGAACCUCGGCAGAGACCAACAACGAGAGCUGGUUUAUACGUUGUUAUGAUAACUACUAUUAUUGACACAUUACUUUUUACCAACAACUGCCAACAAAAGACGUACUGUAAGACUUAAACAUCUCUUCUGUUCCCUAUACCGUGAGUUAUGAACGAAAUAGG
rnacentral:rRNA from 1 species